rnacentral:tRNA from 1 species
GCCCUUGUAGCUCAGCUGGUAGAGCAGCGGUUUUGUAAACCGAAGGUCCCGGGUUCGAUUCCUGGCGGGGGCACCA